rnacentral:rRNA from 1 species
GUAAACGAUGAUUACUAGGUGUGGGGGGACUGACCCCUUCCGUGCCGGAGUUAACACAAUAAGUAAUCCACCUGGGGAGUACGACCGCAAGGUUGAAACUCAAAGGAAUUGACGGGGGCCCGCACAAGCAGUGGAGUAUGUGGUUUAAUUCGAAGCAACGCGAAGAACCUUACCAGGUAUUGACAUUAGAUGCAUAUCAUGGAAACAUGAGAAGUCCUUCGGGACAUCGAAACAGGUGGUGCAUGGUUGUCGUCAGCUCGUGUCGUGAGAUGUUGGGUUAAGUCCCGCAACGAGCGCAACCCUUACUGAUAGUUACUACGCAAGAGGACUCUAUCGGGACCGCCGUUGACAAAACGGAGGAAGGUGGGGAUGACGUCAAAUCAUCAUGCCCUUUAUGACCUGGGCUACACUCGUACUACAAUGGCCGUUAACAGAAGGGGCCGAAGAGGCGACUCGGAGGAAAUCCAUUAAAAGCGGUCUCAGUUCGGAU